GUGUGCAGCAGGAAACAGACUACGCGUUCAGUUUGCUGAACAACAUCGCCAUUUUCCAGACUUUGCGGGCAGGCAGCGCGGGGAUCGAGAAACCAGACUUAAACGCAGAACGCAAAGUUUAAAACCACGGCUCUACCCGAAAGAGAGACCAACUGACUGACCAGCACUGCCGUCAAAGAACCAGAACCAGAUGCACUUGAACCACCUACAGACUUGAGCGUGAGAGUGUCAGAUUUUCUACACUGGAAGGAAAAUGUUGUAUAGAAGACAAUGCAAUAUAGAGCAAACUGCUCUGUCACACAGAGGAGCACCAAGCGAAAUGCUGGAGUUGUCUUUUAUCAGUAGGGGGCAGUAUGGUUACACAGGAGCUGUGCUGCUUUCAAUAUCCCCCGCACAAAAGCUCUCCUGAGUACAAAGAGAGGAAAAUAUUAUAUAAUAAAAUCA